GACGUAGGGCGCGAGCGUUGUCCGGAUUUAUUGGGCGUAAAGAGCUCGUAGGCGGCUUGUCGCGUCGACUGUGAAAACCCGAGGCUCAACCUCGGGCCUGCAGUGGGUACGGGCAGACUAGAGUGCGGUAGGGGAGAUUGGAAUUCCUGGUGUAGCGGUGGAAUGCGCAGAUAUCAGGAGGAACACCGAUGGCGAAGGCAGAUCUCUGGGCCGUAACUGACGCUGAGGAGCGAAAGCGUGGGGAGCGAACAGG
rnacentral:rRNA from 1 species